rnacentral:rRNA from 1 species
AAUAGAUGAGCCUAAGUCGGAUUAGCUAGUUGGUGGGGUAAAGGCCUACCAAGGCGACGAUCUGUAGCGGGUCUGAGAGGAUGAUCCGCCACACUGGGACUGAGACACGGCCCAGACUCCUACGGGAGGCAGCAGUGGGGAAUAUUGGACAAUGGGCGGAAGCCUGAUCCAGCCAUGCCGCGUGUGUGAAGAAGGCCUUUUGGUUGUAAAGCACUUAAGCGAGGAGGAGGCUACUCUAGUUAAUACCUAGAGAUA